CCAAUAGCGUAUAUUAAAGUUGUUGCAGUUAAAAAGCUCGUAGUUGAAUUUCGGAGUUUGUCGGUUGGUCGGGCUUCACUGUCCGCACUGGCCUGAUGGAUUCCUACCUUCUGAAUAACCAGCAUGCUAUUAAGUUAGUGCGUUGGGGAAGCAGAGCUAUUACCUUGAAAAAAUUAGAGUGCUUAAAGCAGGCUUUUGCUUGAAUAGAUUAGCAUGGAAUAAUAAAAUAGGACGGCAUGGUUCUAUUUUGUUGGUUUCUAGGAUCACCGUAAUGAUUAAUAGGGAUAGUUGGAGGCAUUAGUAUUCAAUUGUCAGAGGUGAAAUUCUUGGAUUUAUUGAAGACUAACUUCUGCGAAAGCAUUUGCCAAGGAUGUUUUCAUUAAUCAAGAACGAAAGUUAGGGGAUCGAAGACGAUCAGAUACCGUCGUAGUCUUAACCAUAAACUAUGCCGACUAGGGAUCGGACGAUGUUAAUUUUUUAAUGACUCGUUCGGCGCCUUACG
rnacentral:rRNA from 1 species